rnacentral:rRNA from 1 species
UACGAAGGGGGCUAGCGUUGUUCGGAAUCCCUGGGCGUCAAGGGCGCGUAGGCGGCUUUUCAAGUCGGGGGUGAAAGCCUGUGGCUCAACCACAGAAUUGCCUUCGAUACUGUUAGGCUUGAGACCGGAAGAGGUGAGUGGAACUGCGAGUGUAGAGGUGAAAUUCGUAGAUAUUCGCAAGAACACCAGUGGCGAAGGCGGCUCACUGGUCCGGUUCUGACGCUGAGGCGCGAAAGCGUGGGGAGCAAACAGG